rnacentral:rRNA from 1 species
CGAACGCUGGCGGCAGGCUUAACACAUGCAAGUCGAGCGCCCCGCAAGGGGAGCGGCAGACGGGUGAGUAACGCGUGGGAACGUACCUUUUGGUUCGGAACAACUCCGGGAAACUGGAGCUAAUACCGGAUAAGCCCUAACGGGGAAAGAUUUAUCGCCGAAAGAUCGGCCCGCGUCUGAUUAGCUAGUUGGUGAGGUAACGGCUCACCAAGGCGACGAUCAGUAGCUGGUCUGAGAGGAUGAUCAGCCACACUGGGACUGAGACACGGCCCAGACUCCUACGGGAGGCAGCAGUGGGGAAUAUUGGACAAUGGGCGCAAGCCUGAUCCAGCCAUGCCGCGUGAGUGAUGAAGGCCUUAGGGUUGUAAAGCUCUUUUGUCCGGGAAGAUAAUGACUGUACCGGAAGAAUAAGCCCCGGCUAACCUCGUG